rnacentral:lncRNA from 1 species
CUUCCCAUCAGCCCUUGAGGCUGCAGGGACCAGCCCUUUGUGGAGAAGCCCAGGCGGCCUAGAAUCCAGUGUCGUCCGUGAGUGCUUGGCUGGUGUUCAAGUGCAUCUUCCAGCCUGAGACCGCGUGGACUCGCUCAUCGUGAGGGCGAGAGGAGGAUAAGCCCAUUGGGCUGUCGGCUGAGAGUGAGAUUGCUGAUGAAAUCCUUGGCAUCGUCGGAGAUCUCAUCGAAUGCCUCGUCGUCGAAGUCCCAGGUGGCUGAGGUAACGUUGGCCAAGGUUUCGUUAUCGUUGUCUCCCAUGAAGGGGGAAAGGCCACUGACUCUGGAGAGACAAGAGCAGGACAGCAGGUGUGGCUAGGAGAGGGCGCGACGACCAGAUGAGGGAAUUGAGGCACAGCCCAGGCUCAAGUCACCUGCCCAAAGAUUCACAGCCAGUGAGAUUGGAAGCCAGGUAUCUGCCUCUAGAGCCUGUCCUCUUAAAUGCUAUACUAUCCUAACAUUUCUGUAAAGAUGAAGUAAAUUGCAGUGUUCAGCACUGGCACCAGGCCUGGUCCACAGUAAGGAGGCGGUCCAUGCCCGGAGAUCUCAUGCAGUUCUGCUGGGUUCCCUCCACUGCCUUACCAAGCUGUGAGUGCAGGAAUGACUUUGUGACCAGCAGCUUAAGCCAAAUAAACUUUAUAAGGUAAAGAAUUUCAAAACAAA